AUGUCCUCGCAGUACGGCAAGGCCCCUUUCCUCAACCGCUCCGUGACCGCCGUGCCUCGGACUGUGCCGACACCGGUGUUCGACCACAGGUCCACCGAGUUCAAGGGAGAAGGCGGCAGGUCGUACCCCGUUGUCCCGGAUUCCAUGACCAAGAUCAAGAACGUCACUGUGUGCUUUACGGCCGAGUUCAUCGCCGAGCUCAAGGCCCGCGUGGGAAUCCGCUCUAGCACGUUCCAGUGCCUGCUCGCGCAUGCGUGGAAUAAGAUCACGGCGGCGCGCGGCCUGAAGCCCGAGCAGUUCACGCAGGUGAGGGUGGCCGUGAACUGCCGGGCGAGGGCCAGCCCUCCGGUGCCGCCGGACUUCUUUGGGAACAUGGUGCUCUGGGCGUUCCCGAGGCUUCGGGCCCGGGACGUCCUGGGCUGGACCUAUCGCGGCGUGGUCGAGGCCAUCCGCGACGCCGUCGCCCGCGUGGACGCCGAGUACAUCCAGUCGUUCGUGGACUUCGGCAGCGUAGCGGACGCCAACGGCGAGGAGCUCGCGGCGACGUCGGCAGUCAAUGGCACAAUGUUCUGUCCAGACCUGGAGGUGGAUAGCAGCCUGGGUUUCAGGUUCAACCAGAUUGACCUCGGCACUGGGUCGCCCUCCGCGUUCGUCACCCCGGACCUGCCCAACGAGGGCCUCAUGAUCUUCUUGCCGUCGUGCACGGCCCGUGGUGGCGUCGACCUCAUCAUGGCCAUCCCAGAGGAUCAUGAUACCGCGACCAUCUACUCCUUGGAUGAAAGAGCUAAUCCAAAGAUGUAA
rnacentral:rRNA from 1 species